UUUCUAUCCUUCCUCCUUGAGGAACGUAGUCCUUCCUGACAGUGAAACCAGAUCACCCUGCAUCCUCGGAGGAGGUAGUUCUGUUUGUCUCGGGUGUAGAAAAAAGUGUUAUUUUCUUAUAGGUGUGCUGCUCUUUGGGUAGUGAGGGAAAUCACCCUCUCGAGGUGAAAGGAACAUGAAGGUUUGCUUAAAUGUUUUGAGAGCAUUUGAGAGAAGGUGACAUUUGAAACACCAUGUGUUGUUAUUAAAUCUUAUGGCUCAGAACUAUUAUUGGGCCAUAUCCUAGAGGUUUUACUCAAAACUAUGUUUUUAAACACCGAUGUCUGGAAGUUAAAUUAAAGCAUAUUGACGUCAAACACCUUAGGUAUUUGCUUUGCCCUUCAGAAUUGCUGAACUCCUUGCAGGGCAGGUCCCCUGGAGACUUUAAAAAGGCAAAAAAUUCACUUUGGAGCUUUCAACCACUUGUUACAAGGUCUGGCCUAUUGUAAUUGUAUUUGGGGUUUACCUGCUGUUUUUUCCAAAUGGUUAAUUUGAUCACAAACAGUUCUUAGCUGUAAGCAGUAGCUUGAGUUCAAGAGCAGAACUUGAUACUGGGUUUAUUCAUACAAAUCCACACAGCCAAUAACCUCUUCCUCUGAGGUAAACAGAUAAUCAGUAAGGUUAAAUGCUAACAAAAAUUAUUAUGAACCCAUAUAUGAAUGCAAUGAUUUUUUUCCAGUACUUACUGGUAACUUGCCUGGGAAAUGGGUCUUAGUUUGGCUCUCAUGGUUGAUUCCAAGCAUCCUCUUACCAAUACCCCUGAGACGCUGGUUAAUUUUGUGGCACAAAAUAUUUAAUUAUGUGCUCUGCCAAGUGAAUACAAGGUCUCAAAUUGAAUAUCAGCAUCCCUGGGCAACUAUUUUAGACACUUUGGUAGAAUGUAAAUGCAUAUUUUCUGCAUGCCAGAUCCUGGACCCAUAUCCAUCAAAGUAGAUCUCCAGUAGUUCCAUUGAAGGCUUGGAACAAUCUUAAAUUACGUUAUUGAGGUCAGAUUGUGACCCUGAAGCUCUGGCAGAGACCCAAACCAAGAAAUUUGUGUGGGAAAUUGGGGAGGGAAUAAAUUAGCACUUGCCUAUGCUUUUUGUGGGACUAAACUGUUACAAAGGUGUGAGCUAAAAUGAAAGUUCCUAAGCAUGGUGGAUAAUGCUUUCCAGCCGUUUCUGCUGGAAAUAGCUUUCUGUGUGUUUAUGGGAUGGGUCCUUACUUUCUGGUGGUGCUCUGUCUCAAAUAACAACCAAUUUUACUUCCCCGACUGUCCCUGUCCCCCUAACUCCCUCCAAAGAAAAAAAUGUUUAAUCCUGUAAAAAGAAAAGUGCAGGGCUAGGUUCUAGUUUGCGGGGGUUUUACUCUGGUGAAUAUAAACCUUCAUUUUCUCUCUCUGCCAACCAGAAGUGGUAGGUCUAAAUAGUAUUAAGUAAUUGUGGUUGUCAUACUGCACAUUGUACUGUGGAAAAAAUUAAUUGCUGGUUUUUUCGCCCAAGGGUUUAAGCAGCGGUCCCUUCAUCUGACCGGGAGCAUGUCGUUUUUCUCCCGACUGAGGCUGCGUACCAUCAAGCAGCAGGAAAGGAUUCCUGUACAGCUGCACUGGCCUGUGUAGCAUUUGGCAAUUGACCUGACGUGGAACAAAAUCCUGCCAUUUCUUCCUUCCCAAAUGAUCCUGUGCCCUAGAUGGAAGACAAAUGAAUCUGCUCCAUCUUCAAAUGCUGGUGCUAGAGAAGAGCCCUUGCCUGAAAUCUUACUCUGCCUGUUGUGAAGAACUUUGAUUCAAAUUUCUCCCGAGAAUCUGGUUGUCUCACCAGGAGCAAAACCCGAGGGAAAACUGCUUUGCUUCAUUUUUGAGGAUUCCGGUUUGACUGGCCAAAGUGACAUGAUCAGUUGCCUGCAUUAUAUUUUCUACCCAUCGGCAACAGGAGAAGCUAUUGCAUGGUUCAUCUUUGGUACUCGGACCCUGCAGCCAAAUUCUUGGCUGAGGGUUAUUUUAACUGCGUCAUCUCCCUUAUUGUGAUGGGAAGGUGAGACAGCAAAGGGUAGGAUGAAAAAAAGUACAUGGAGCCAUUUUUUGCUGUGAGAAGAAAGGCACAGCCUGCUGGGUGUAUGGUGAGACGUUUCCUCUUGUCCCAAGGGAAUGGUUGUAGUACCUUCAAUGUACGUAUUUGUCAGAAGCUGUGCUGAGUAUCUGGUAUGAGUAUGGUGUCAAAGUUUUAUUGCUGUAUAUUUAUAGUACAAAUUGCCACAAAUACACAUGAAAUUCUUUAAAUGCACAUUGAGCUACACACAGCAUGCAUUCUUUACCUAUUUGGCUAAGAGGCAGACAUCCGUUUGUGUCUGCUGCUGCCAAGUGACUGCUCACUGGAAGCUACACGUCCUCCCUCAGGCCCCCCAGGAGCUGCUAUUCACACCUGGCUGUCCUACUGCCAAAAUAACCCUUUCAUCUCAGUUAUCAUUUUUCAGAGAAAAGAGAUAGGAAAGUUUUAUUUGAUGUUCCGGGCCCUCACACUCACAGGCACCAAGAUUUUCGUCUGUUCUGUUUCAUAAAGAUAUUCUUCAGCUCUACAACCUGCUUGGCUGAUAGCAGAGCUCUCGUUGUAUUAGUACAAGUGAUGCCUGGAUUCAUUUAACCAGAAGAAUGUGUUCAGUGCACACAGUUUUCAUAUAUAAUCCCUGUAACUUUCUUUUAGUCAGAAAUCUAUGUGUUAAGCUGCUUUUAGAAUGAUUAAAAAAGACGUUUAUUUUCGACAGGUGGUCAAUAGUUUGUCUUUGAAUAAAACCAAAAUGCCUAUGCAAGACAGCAGUGAUGGAAACUUGCACUUUGUCCUCAUUUCUAGGCUUUAGCCUUUCACGGUGCAUUUGUCCAUUAUGCAAAGCGGAUAUAAGUCCUGGUUUUCAUCUGACAUCCAGUGGGCUACAAAAUUCCUUUCGGACUCAUGAAAUGUCCUUGCUAGUCUUUUAAUUAAUUUAAACACUUUUAACAACUGUAAGCUGGUUGUUCCAGCUGUAUUACUGCUGUCCUAGGAGUUACUAGGUGAGAUAAUCCUGUGUUGAAGUGAACAGUUUUUAGGCAGAGGGGGUUUUUAUGCUCAGUUUUCGGGUUUGGGACUUCUUGUUCUCAGAGGAAUGCUAAAUAAGCACAAGUCAGCAAUAUGAUGCUGCUUAAAUAGAAAAGGCGUGUAGUGUACUGGGAUGGUAUUAACAGGAAUAUUGUGUGCAAGCAAGACCUGGGAGGUAACGAAGCUGCUCCACCUGAACUGAUGAGGUUUUGGCUGGCACUCUGCCUCUGAUUUAGGGUACCCCAUUUUGACAGGUGCAGAUAGUUUGGAGCAUGUCCAGAAAAGGACAGCACCAACAGCAAGAAAGUGUGAAGAACAAAGCAGCCCAAAGGCAGACGUAGAAAUCAGGACUGAAUGCGUUGUUGCGCGUAGAGAGAAAAGGAAAAUGAGAGAGGUUUCAAAGGCUUGAGAGGUUGAUGCAGUGAUAACUGCAAUGGGAAAGUUCUCUGCAUCCAUCGCAGGUAGGACCAAGGGCGAUUGGCUCAGUUUUCCUCAAGAGAAACGUAGCUUUAUACUGGGAAAUAUGUAGCACAGACAAGCAGGGAAGUGACCACCUAGGGGAGCUGGGCAAGCCCUUCCCAGGAGAAGCUAGACAAGAAGUUGACUGUGAUUCUGCCAAGUGCCCUCUGGGCAUCUCUGACCCAGCCUCAGCUUUCCUCUGAACCAGCUGCCAAGGGCCGUGCAGACUCCAGAGCUGGGGCAAGCACGUGUGUCCAGAAGCAGAGGGUGAAAGCAUGCAGAAACGGGGGCUUCCCUCUUGUGACGGGAGCAAGCUAUCGUGACUAAGACCACCAGCGUCUCCACGUGUUUAGCCAACUUCUCUUUCUCAGUUCAUACAUCUCUGUGCUGCCUUACAAUAUGUGAAUCCCUCAGGAAAGGGGAAGAGGGGAGAAAAGCGGAGCUCUGCACCUCAUUUACGAUUUCUCAUUUGCCUCACAGGAGUGAGCAGCACUGCACGGGAUGAUGAUGAUGCGGACAGCGUGAUAGGGUCACAGGGAGCAACAAGCUGGGGGUGGCGGGGGGAACUCACGGCUCUAACACACACAGUGGCACUGCAGACGGGAAGCAAACUGGUAGUGGUUGUGAAAGACAGUUGGGAGCUCUUCCCUUUAUGCCGUGUUGAUUUAGAAAAUACCGAUUUGCUUAACUAGUCAUUUUUUUGGUGGGCUUUUCCACUUAUGGCAGAGUUUGAGAAAAUAUUCAGGGGCCCAUAAAUCAAAGGAGGUUUGAAAGUUAUGGAAAAAUCUGGAAAAACUGGCUGCUUUUAGAAAGAACCAAAAGUUUAGUGGAAGGGGUAGGUUCAAAUUUCUGCUCUGCCUGGUUUACAGAGGCUUGAAGCUAAGCUUCCCACCACCUGGAGGGGUGCUUCCACCUCCAAGAGCAGCGAAAGCAAUCAGGCAUGGAUUUUUGUGAACAGUUUUGUGAACAGUUUUUUAAAGGUCUUGGAUCUAUCUUGAUUUGGAGGAAGGGAAAAAAAAUAAAAGAAAGAAAUUCAUUGUGGCAUAGGAAGGCUCCCUUCUUCCCCAGUCCAAUGGUGACACUGGUACAUGACUAAAGUGUGUGCUGUACACAUGAUCAUAUCUUUUAAAAAUAUUUCGCUAUCUAUUAAUCCAAUUUUAUUUAUUAAUAGAUGGUUAGCUUAUUCCUAGUUAGAAGGAAUCACUGUAUAAAUUAACUAGACGUUGGGCCAUUUAAACUUGCCAUACAGUUGCCUUCUUGAGACAGAUUUGUACAACAGUUCUCAGCUGCUUCAUGCACCCCCAGGAUGAAAUUUGUUUGGUUUAGCAUUUUUACUUUGUGGAUAUAAAGCUUUUUUUUUUUUUUUUUCUCCUCCCACCUCCCCCUUUCCUUCUUAUGUACACAUACACCCCCAGGCCAAAUCUGUGGAAAAAUCUUCCCUUGCACUUCUGCUGUCCCAAGAGUCUGCUGGUGACUUCAUGUAUUUCUGCUGAGCCCAGUUUGUCCAUUAACGGUAAAAUCAUGGUGGAAUUUCUACCGAAUAACCGAGCAUGUUUACAAAAGCAGAUGCAUAUUUAUACAGCAGACACCAGAGGAAUGUGUGGUGCAAAGCCUGCCCUUUGCCUAUGACAUGCAGUUGGCUUUCCAAAUGAUUUCCCUCUCACAGCUGAUAGACGUUGACUUUGGCAGCAUCGUUAGUGAUAGACCAUAUAUCAUGGUUAAUCAUAUCUGCUGAAAGGCUUUAAAGACUUCUCGUAUCUUUCUCAAUAAAAAAGAUGUAUUUUCUCAUUCAAGUUAUUUUUACCAUAGGUCUCUAGUGCGUGCUCGUUAAAUAUACUUUCAACCCUAUUUAGCUGUGCUUUAUAUCCUUAAACUGACAUAUGUUUGAAGAGUGAAGUGUUUGUAUGGGGCCAAAUUAAAAUACGAAAUUUUGCCUUUUGCUUUAAAGAAAACUUAAUAAUUAAGCUCAGAUUGACACAGAUCAAAACAUUGGCAAAAAUUGCUGGAAACAGUGACUCAUUUUUUAUUUCAAUUAACAGUUUCUCAGUUUCACAUAUAAACAGUGAAACUGUCAAAAAUAAUUAUCACAGGGAGGAAAAACCUAUUUCACUCCAAGGUAAGGAAAACAGGCUAAAACAAUAGCUGAGAGUACAGACCAGGCUAUCAGUGAACCGAACUGAAUCAGACAGGUUUUUUCUUCUCUUGCCAGGAAUCCUGUUAAAUACUUAUUCUUACAUUCUUUUAAAUAUUAACAUAUUUACUUGUGUAGUAGCCUCUGUUUGUUGAAGAAAGCUUUCAACUUACAGAUUUUUUAAGGACAGAAGUAUUUGAAAUGCCUUUUUGAAAAAAAUUUGUACAGUGGAAAGAAGUUAUGAGACUUUCAAAAUUAUCAGAGACAUUUUGUUAACGAAUUGCACUUAUAAUCUGAAGUCUGACUCCAAACAUUUGAUUUAAAAAUCCUCUGUGGCUCCUUUUGGCACUUAUUAUGAUUUUUAACUUUAGUUUGGUUUCUUUGCUUUUUUUCUUGACGAACUCAGGUAAAUUUGAACUAGUUAUAAAACUGCAAAAUUGUUUUUGUUGCUCAUAAACUCUGGCGUAUGAAUACAGGGGGAACAAAGUUUCUUAAAUGUAUGCUGAACUUUAUCUGAAAUUUUGGCAUGUUAACUCAUCUCCUGCGGAGAAGGAUGAAAUUAUGACAUUCUCCUGCUUCUUUUUGUUUCCUACCCUACGUUGUAUGUUUCCCAGGAUACGUUUCAGGUUCAUGAGUUUAAACUGAGAUAAAUAGUCCUCUCCGGAUAUUACUUCCACAGUUUAGUAAGACCAUAAGGAAUUUUUACUUCCCGUAUUUUGAGUAAUUUGUCUGUUUAUUCAAAGUUUCAUCCUCGUUUUGCUAUUGAGAAUAUAAGUAAAAGCAACUUUCCUGGGGCUGAGGAGACAGGGUUGGGUAGAGUCUGUGUUCAGCUGCAGGCUCCAGCCUAGGCUGAGUUUUAAGCCCAUGAAUAAUCUCCCCAGAGCUGCUGAGAUCACUCGUCUGCCUAACGCGUGUGUCGCAGUUUGACCCUGUUUGACUCCAGAGUGAAGGAAAUGAUGCCUCAGUUGACCAUAGCUGUUUGUUUCUAAUUCGUCUGCAUUUACAUAUCCUCUGUGUCUGCUUUCCAUUAACAUGUGAGACUUCAGCAGGGGAUUGUUCACAAACAGUUACCACUGGCCAAACUAAACUCCACUGGGCACAGUUGGACACCAUCGGGUGCUUUUGAAAAACUGCCCGUGUUUCUCCUUUCAGACAAAUUCCCCACAGAGCUUGUGUGCUGGCAGCCACUUGUGGCCAAUACUCAUGCUUGUAUCUUCUCCAUCAGUAGGUUACUGCAAAGAAAAAGUAAAAACGCACUUCGGUGCUGUCUUAUGAGGCUCGCAAAGCCCACGUUCAUCAGUUGACCCUUGAGGUAUUCACUCAGUUAUUCAGCUCAUUGUUGGGAAACGUCCUCUUGUCUAUGGAAAUUUCCUUGGGUUGGAUGCUUUCAUAAACGAUUACAGCCUGUGUUAUCUGAGCAUAAUAAAACUGAAUGGCUUCCUGUCACCAUAACCUCUAUUUAGUUUUAUACUCCUCUGUAUAAUUUUCUGGAUCUCUGUACGCUCUCUCCUUUCAUGGCUUCAUUUUGGAACAAGUUCCCUCUUUUGAUUUAUUUUGCUAUGAUACUGCCUUCAUUCAAACGCCUUCUUUAAAAUUUCCUUUUGUAAUCUGUCCUUACACAUUUUUCUUCCUCUCUUAAUUUUUAUUUUUCAGGGUGGGCGGAGCUUAAGCAUUAUUGUUCAUUUUAUGUGCGCAACUAGGACAUUGAUGUAUUUAGUCAAACAUAUAAUUCUCUCUUAGAGUCACUACCUGUCUUUUAUAUUCCCAGACAUCAGUGGAUUUUGAAGGAACCACAAAUUUGUUUUAUGGCUGGAGCAGGAGGCACAAGGAGUCCUGUUACAGAGCAGGUGCGGUGGCAGCAGCCAGGAAGCCAUUGCUCGGUUGAAGUCCACCAGCACUCCCCUCCGAACUGUCAGCUACUAACUGCUUCUGCCCUUCUCAGAUACGUAGUCUAAGAAACUGAUGUUGCACUGCAGCUGGAAGCUGACCUGAGACUGAAGUGACACAUCCUUUGCUGUGGAAUAUUUGUCUCCAGCUGUUCCUUCGUGGGAUGGGUUACAGAGACUGCACCUGUGCACGCCGGGGUAGCAGCAGCCCGGGAGGAAUCCCUGCCAUAACAUUUCUCUGUGAAACACAUACUUUCUCCCUGAGGAAAUGGGCUUAUGUCAACAGAAAUGGAAACUUCAAAAAAAGUAGAUAUGUAGCGCUGGGAAAAGCUAAGCAUCUUUGCUCUUAGAUGUGUGGGGUGAUUAAUUUCAUGUGCCAUAUCCCUCACACACACAUUCUUCUUCUUUGCCAAAAGCUGAAUGUAAUUGGAAGCCUAUGAAUGUCCAUGGUUGCCAGACAGCUUAAAAUUGAGAUGCUGUGAAAUGCAAACAAAUGGAAAUGUUUCUCUUUUGUGUAAAUCUGCAAGAAUUAUUAGGCAUUAAAUACCAAUUGCAAGGAGACUCGUUUAGGAUGGUCAAAGAUGAGCCUGAGCUGGUUCUUGUGUACACUCCUGGAGCAGGAGUCCAGUUAGAGUGGCUUGGACAAGUGGGUUCUGCUCCACACACAGAUUUUGCACCCCCUUGUUAGUUAGUGCUGUGGCAGCUUCCUAAAAUAGCGGUAGAUAGAUAUAAUCCUUCACAUAGAUGCCCUCACAACAGAGCGAGAGUAAUUUGUAUUCAUAUAACUGGUUUUCUUUUCCAGAAGUAAAGCAUACUGAUCCAAAAUAACAUUUCUGUUGAUGUAGUUGUGUCCACACCGGGAAAGGAGUGGUUUAGCUUGGUGGGCAGAGCCUGAGCAGCUUGUAGAUACCAAGGAGCUCCAAGAUGAGAGGGAACAUGAUACUGCUUGGCUACCUUGGGGCAAAGCGCAAAGGAGCUUGAGAGGCUCAGGCCCUGUGGGGUCUGUUGUCAUUUUUGCUGAAAGUCUGCCAGAGGCUUGACAAGCACUGAUUCACUGACAUUCCUUGUGUGCUAAAAGGCUUCUUGAGGUGGCUUCAAGCACAUGCAGCUGUUUGCUGCGUACAGCUCAGCAUCAGAUUCAGAUGGGAUCUUUUGAUGGUCCAGAAGUUCUGCUCAAGGGGUUGGCUGUCAAGCCACGGUGUUUGUUAUGCUCAGUAACAAAGUAAAAACAGAUCUUGGUAGGCCAGUUCACAUAAAACUUACCCUUACCGUCACAAUUCAUAAGCCUAAUUCCUAAACUGCAGGUGCAAGCUGCACUGUGGGCACCCAUUUUUCUCCCAACAGAGGAGGAUUUGCAGUGGGAGAACUUAACUGGAGGAAAUGAAUCCUGGUAUUGGUUACCGAUACCUGGAAGCUUAUUUGCACAUUUCUGGCCUGGCUUUGAGCACACUUUGUGCUUGGAGUUGGAAAUCAGGGGCGUGAGAUGCUGGAAGAAUGAGACUGCCCUGUGCCUCUGUCCUGCGGGCACAGUGAGGAUGCCUGGGGCAGGGGGAUAUGACAGCAGCAUCAUGAAUACUGCUGUGCAGGGAAGAUAAAUCAGCCAGUCUCUCUGUCUCCAUCCCUGGCAGGAUUUUUUUUAGUAAGCCAGCUGGCUGAGCUGCUCAUGGACUAAAAUUAAGCAGCCCUUUGGGGUUCAGAGGUGGCUGCAGGCUUCGCUUAUGCAGAGAGGUACCUACAUGUAUAAGUAGCCCAUCAGUUCCCAUCCAAGCCUCAGCACCAGAUAAACAGCAUUUUGAUAAACAGCAUUGUCAGUGAGGGAGUAAGUGAUCUGUGAUGAACCUGACAUAGGCUGUGCCUAUAAUUGUCCUGUGAAUCUGCUUCUCUCCAGUGCUUAUUUAAAGCCACCCUGGAGUCAGAGAAGGAGGUGUGCGAUUUUGCUGCCUCUUAGGUACUCUCUCAUGUCCUCCUGUCCAUGCUGCCCUUUAGAGAAGCACCCUAAAUCAAUAAAUCAAUAAAUCCACAGCUAUUUGAACUGUGAGAUUAACGGGGAGGUUGCAUCUCGUUCACCCUUUGGGGUCACGCUGUGUUCGCUUGGGGACAGCCACCCUGAAGCUUGUGCAAGAGGCUUUGCGUUCAACCAUGACAGGCUUCAGCACUGUUUCUUCUUCUAAACGGUCCAAAUCCAUUUUCCAAUGGUGAAAGAAAGCCCGCAGUUGUUAUCUAUUUUGGACAUGUGCAUGUUAUGCUAUACACCCCUAAUCAUUUAUGCAAACAUUAUUUUUACAGAGGUUACUUACUGUGGAUGUUGGGAAAGCCAGGACACUGAAAAGAAGGUCUCUGCUGGAAAUUACGCACUUAGCACAUCGCAGUUUCUUAAUUAGUCUCAACACAUCAGCCAGGAAGGACACCCCAUAGAAGGCAGCCUGCAAAACCUAAAGUAAUUACACCUAAUGAGGGAAACUCAUCCAGCUUUCAUUAACACGUUCCUCAAUGAACUCUGUUCUUGCUCUUCAGGGAGCCGUUUUGUUCGUGAGCUGCAAGCCCACGUGAGGGAAAUAGCUGUUGGCUAAAUCUUUUUUACUGUGACUGAAUAAAUAAAGUUGUUCAGCAGAUAA